AACGAACGCUGGCGGCAGGCUUAACACAUGCAAGUCGAGCGCCCCGCAAGGGGAGCGGCAGACGGGUGAGUAACGCGUGGGAAUCUACCCAUCUCUACGGAAUAACGCAUGGAAACGUAUGCUAAUACCGUAUACGUCCUUCGGGAGAAAGAUUUAUCGGAGAUGGAUGAGCCCGCGUUGGAUUAGCUAGUUGGUGGGGUAAAGGCCUACCAAGGCGACGAUCCAUAGCUGGUCUGAGAGGAUGAUCAGCCCCACUGGGACUGAGACACGGCCCGGACUCCUACGGGAGGACGCAGGGGGGAAUAUUGGACAAUGGGCGCAAGCCUGAUCCAGCCAUGCCGCGUGAGUGAUGAAGGCCCUAGGGUUGUAAAGCUCUUUCACCGGUGAAGAUAAUGACGGUAACCGGAGAAGAAGCCCCGGCUAACUUCGUGCCAGCCGCCGCCGUAACAC
rnacentral:rRNA from 1 species